rnacentral:lncRNA from 10 species
GAAUUGAGGCCUCGGUGAAAAGCGCGCUGAGACUUGGGACUCAGGUGGGCGGAGCAGAGCUCAGCUUGGGAGGAGGCGGACGCGAGUAGCUCGGCAGGGGGACUCGCUUGGCUUUCGUGCCAUCCGUGGACACAGUCGCGCGGGUAGGUGACCGGGUUGGAUUUCAAAGUCCAGCAGGAAAUCCUGCCCUCUGGGUUGCACUUCCUGGAUGAGCCUCUGACGUCUCAAGCAGCAUUGUUUUAAUGCUUUGAUGAAGCUCAGCACGCUGCCGAAAUCUCGGCAGUAUUUUUUCUUUUCUUUUUGCAUGUGAGAGAAAGGACAACAAAUUGCAGUUUUAUCCAUUUGUAUUAUUUCUUUAGAAAACUCAACACUCUUUUUGUUGGAGGUGGGGAAAUGAGAAGGUGAUGUUUUGUUUUGCUUUUUUUCCUAUUUUUUUUUUUUAAAGGAGGAGAAGAUGACAGUGUUCUCCCUAAGGAUGAAGUUUGACUUUUGAAACAUAUCACAUGCUUAAAGCACAUUUGAGCUCCUGCAUGAACAGUAAGCUAGCAGAUGGUAGAAAUAUUCUUUAUUAAUUCAAAAAAUAUUUACUGCGGACCUACAAUGUGCCAAGCAUGUCUCCUGACACUGGGGAUAAGCAGUGAACAACAACAAAAAGACAAACUUCUUCCACCCUGAGGCGUAUGUUCUCGGUCUUUGUGGGAAGAAACAAAUCACAAAAGCAAUUAAGAGAGCUCAAACAAUGGGGUUUAUGCCAGUUACAUACAAGGAUCCUGCAUAUUUCAGGGACCCUAAAGUUUAUAACAUCAGAUAUCCGGAAUAAAUUCCAUCACAUUACCACCAGUAAACUUAUUUUAUAGUUACUCUCAUCUGGAUUAUUGUAGUCACCUUGUCACUGGUAUCUCUGCUUUCUCCUAACCCCCAUCUAAUCUCCAAAAAAUCAGAGCAUGUCACUCCUGGCCCCCAAAUCCCCCCAGUGACUCCGCCCUCCCCACCCUGCUCAGAAUUAAAGUCAAUGAUCUUUUUUUUUUUUUUUUUUGAGAUGGAUUCUUGUGCUGUCACCCAGGCUGGAGUGCAGUAAGUAGUGUGAUCUCAGCUCACUGCAGCCUCCGCCUCCCAGAUUCAAGCGAUUCUCCUGCCUUAGCCUCCUGAGUAGUUGGGAUUACAGGUGCGCACAAUGCCUGGCUAAUUUUUAUAUUGUUAAUAGAGUUGGGGUUUCACCAUGUUGGCCAAGCUGGUCUUGAACUCCUGACCUCAGGUGAUCCACCCACCUUGGCCUCGCAAAGUACUGGGAUUACAGGCAUGAGCCACCAUGCCCAGCCUAAAGUCAAUUAUCUCACCACAGACCACAAGGCUACUUUGAUCCAACCAGCCCAUCUUAUAUACUACCACUUUCCUGUUUUCUCACAGUGCUCCAAUCACACUGGCCUUCUUUCUGGACUUCAAACAUGCCAAAUAUACUCUCCUUGAGGGACAUAGCACUUACUGCUACCUUUGUUUGGAAUGUUCUUUCCCAGAUACCCAUGUGGCACACCCAAAUGCUUGAGUGGCCCCUUAUUAGUGAGGCCUUCCUAUAGCAUUAUAUAUAAGAUGGAUAUAAGGUAGGACUCAGAACAUACUCCCUAUCCUCCUUACUCUACUUCACCUGACUCCAAACACUGUCACCACCUGACGUAGUACAUAUUUUAUUUUUUAUUUGUUUAGCAUCUGUCUGCCUCUAACUAGAAUGCAAGCUCCAUGAGGACAGAGAUUUUUGUUUUGUUUACCGCCAUAUUGUCAGCAGCUAGAGCAAUGUCUGGCAUGUAGUAGCACUCAAUGAAUAUUAAUUGAAUAAAUGAGCUACCUAAAAAAUAACUGCAUUGAUAUCAUAACCCAAGUAGUGUCUGAAAUAAUGUAAUGAAUUACCAGAAUGCAAAUGAAUUAUUUUCCAGAUGUCUUUAAGUUGGGUGUUGGAAAGUCAAUAUGCAUUUUUCCUACAAAUAUAAAGUAAGUGCUGUUAUUAUCCCCAUCUUAUGGAUAAGACAUCUGAUAUUUAGCUUAUGCAACUAUGCCUGUUUUCUGAUUUUGAGGCAUGUACCUCACCACUUAUACUAAAUUUCCAGGUCAGAUCAUAAAACCUUACGUAAGCCAUAAAAUUCAGAUAUAAAGUAGUCUAAAAAAAGGAAGGACCAGAAUGGAAGAUACCUAUCUUACACACAAACAGCUGUAUCUAGAGUAUAGGCUUCUUAGCUUUCUAGAUGUUUCACCCAGUUAUAGCUGUUCUUUGAUAGUGAUACAGUGAUAGAGGCAGGAGGCAGAGAAAUUCUAGGCAGAUGGGAAGAUCCCUGGCAAAGCACCACCCUAAAGCUGAAAAGCUUGAAACCACUGCCUAAAGUGAGAACUUAUAUUCCCGUUUUCCUGCUUGAAUGUUGUCUUUUCCUAAACUACCCAUAGCCUGCCCCACCCUAUCUUGUGCCUAUAAAGACCCCAGACUCAGCCAGCAGAGGGGAGAAACAGCUGGACAUCAGAGAGAAGCAGCCGGACUUCAGAGGGACAGCUUGAUGACAUAACUUUGGAGAAGAAUGCAGCCAGAGAUGGGUGGACUCCAGGGAAAGAUUACCUGCCGCCCCACCCUCUUUUCAGCUCCCCUUCCUGCUGAGAGCCACUUUCAUCGGCAAUAAAAUACACUGCAUUUGCUAUCCUUCGAUUUGUUUGUAUGACCUUAUUUCUCCUGGACGCCGGUCAAGAGCUCAGGAACCAUCAGUGCGAUACAAAAG